rnacentral:rRNA from 1 species
GAUGAACGCUGGCGGCGUGCCUAAUACAUGCAAGUCGAGCGAACGGACGAGAAGCUUGCUUCUCUGAUGUUAGCGGCGGACGGGUGAGUAACACGUGGAUAACCUACCUAUAAGACUGGGAUAGCUUCGGGAAACCGGAGCUAAUACCGGAUAAUAUUUUGAACCGCAUGGUUCAAAAGUGAAAGACGGUCUUGCUGUCACUUAUAGAUGGAUCCGCGCUGCAUUAGCUAGUUGGUAAGGUAACGGCUUACCAAGGCAACGAUGCAUAGCCGACCUGAGAGGGUGAUCGGCCACACUGGAACUGAGACACGGUCCAGACUCCUACGGGAGGCAGCAGUAGGGAAUCUUCCGCAAUGGGCGAAAGCCUGACGGAGCAACGCCGCGUGAGCGAUGAAGGUCUUCGGAUCGUAAAACUCUGUUAUUAGGGAAGAACAUAUGUGUAAGUAACUGUGCACAUCUUGACGGUACCUAAUCAGAAAGCCACGGCUAACUACGUG